AGGAUGAACGCUGGCGGCGUGCUUAACACAUGCAAGUCGAACGAUGAAGGCUGGAGCUUGCUCUGGCUGGAUUAGUGGCGAACGGGUGAGUAACACGUGAGUAACCUGCCCCAGACUCUGGGAUAAGCGCUGGAAACGGCGUCUAAUACCGGAUACGAGCUUCCACCGCAUGGUGAGGAGCUGGAAAGAAUUUCGGCUGGGAUGGACUCGCGGCCUAUCAGCUUGUUGGUGAGGUAAUGGCUCACCAAGGCGACGACGGGUAGCCGGCCUGAGAGGGUGACCGGCCACACUGGGACUGAGACACGGCCCAGACUCCUACGGGAGGCAGCAGUGGGGAAUAUUGCACAAUGGGCGCAAGCCUGAUGCAGGCAACGCCGCGUGAGGGACGAAGGCCUUACGGGUUGUAAACCUGUUUUAAGUAGGGAAGAAGCGAAAGUGACGGUACCUGACGAGAAAACGCACCGGCUAACGUACGUGCCCAAGCCAGCCGCGGUAAUCGUA
rnacentral:rRNA from 1 species